AUUGAACGCUGGCGGCAUGCCUUACACAUGCAAGUCGAACGGUAACAGGUCUUCGGAUGCUGACGAGUGGCGAACGGGUGAGUAAUACAUCGGAACGUGCCUAGUAGUGGGGGAUAACUACUCGAAAGAGUGGCUAAUACCGCAUGAGAUCUACGGAUGAAAGCAGGGGAUCGAAAGACCUUGUGCUACUAGAGCGGCCGAUGGCAGAUUAGGUAGUUGGUGGGAUAAAAGCUUACCAAGCCGACGAUACGUAGCUGGUCUGAGAGGACGAUCAGCCACACUGGGACUGAGACACGGCCCAGACUCCUACGGGAGGCAGCAGUGGGGAAUUUUGGACAAUGGGCGAAAGCCUGAUCCAGCAAUGCCGCGUGCAGGAUGAAGGCCUUCGGGUUGUAAACUGCUUUUGUACGGAACGAAAAGCCCCGGGUUAAUACCCUGGGGUCAUGACGGUACCGUAAGAAUAAGCACCGGCUAACUACGUGCCAGCAGCCGCCGCCG
rnacentral:rRNA from 1 species